GAUGAAGAACGUAGCGAAAUGCGAUACUUGGUGUGAAUUGCAGAAUCCCGUGAACCAUCGAGUCUUUGAACGCAAGUUGCGCCCGAAGCCAUCAGGUUGAGGGCACGUCUGCCUGGGUGUCACAUAUCGUUGCCCAAUGCCUAUUGCAGUGCAAUAGGAAUUUCUAGGGCGAAUGAUGGCUUCCCGUGAGCGUUGUUGCCUCGCGGUUGGUUGAAAAUCGAGUCCUUGGUAGGGUGUGCCAUGGUAGAUGGUGGUCGAGUUAGAACGAUACCGAUCAUGUGCAUGCUCCCCAAAAUAUGGCCUCUAUGACCCACACGCGUCUUUUGACGCUCAUGACGAGACCUCAGGUCAGGCGGGGCUACCUGCUGAAUUUAAGCAUAUCAAUAAGCGGAGGA
rnacentral:misc_RNA from 1 species